UCAAGCGACCAAGGGCGCGUGGUGGAUACCUAGGCACACAGAGGCGAAGAAGGGCGCGUAAACCGGCGAAACGCUUCGGGGAGCUGGAAAUAGCAUCGAUCCGAAGGUACCCGAAUGGGGCAACCCGGCAGACUUGAUCGUCUGUCACUCCCACCUGAAUGUAUAGGGUGGGUAGAGCAAACGGAGCGAACUGAAACAUCUUAGUAGCUCUAGGAAGAGAAAGAAACAUCGAUUCCCUCAGUAGCGGCGAGCGAAGCGGGAAGAGCCUAAACCAAUCUGUUACGACGGAUUGGGGUAGUGGGACAGCAAGAUGGAAUCUGAAAACUAGACGAACUGGCUGGAAUGCCAAACCAAAGAGGGUGAAAGUCCCGUAGUCGAAAGUGGAAGGAUACUAGCUGAAUCCCGAGUAGCGUGGGGCACGUGAAAUCCCGCGUGAAUCCGCGAGGACCACCUCGUAAGGCUAAAUACUCCUGUGUGACCGAUAGUGAACGAGUACCGCGAGGGAAAGGUGAAAAGAACCCCGGGAGGGGAGUGAAAAGACCAUGAAACCGCGUGCCUACAAGCAGUGGGAGCUCGAUUGAACGAGUGACCGCGUGCCUGUUGAAGAAUGAGCCAGCGAGUUACAGGAUGUGGCCGGUUAAGGCGAAACUGCCGGAGCCAAAGCGAAAGCGAGUCUGAUAAGGGCGUCAGUCAUAUGUUGUAGACCCGAACCCGGGCGAUCUAACCAUGUCCAGGUUGAAGCUUAGGUAACACUAAGUGGAGGACCGAACCGACUUCUGUUGAAAAAGGAGCGGAUGAGGUGUGGUUAGGGGUGAAAUGCCAAUCGAGCCCGGAGCUAGCUGGUUCUCCCCGAAAUGCGUUUAGGCGCAGCGUCUGUGGGUAGCCACGGGGGUAGAGCACUGAAUCGGUGCGGGCUGCGAGAGCGGUACCAAAUCGAAUCAAACUCCGAAUACCGUGGUGUUAGCAGGCAGUGAGACGGUGGGGGAUAAGCUUCAUCGUCGAGAGGGAAACAGCCCAGACCACCAGCUAAGGUCCCCAAGAUUCGCUCAGUGAUUAAGGAGGUGAGAGUGCCCAGACAACCAGGAGGUUGGCUUAGAAGCAGCCACCCUUUAAAAAGUGCGUAAUAGCUUACUGGUCAAGCGCUCUUGCGCCGAAAAUGAACGGGGCUAAGCGAGUCACCGAAGCUGUGGAUUUAUGGUAGGGGAGCGUUCUACGUUAGGUUGAAGCGUCAGCGCGAGCAGGCGUGGACGAAGUAGAAGUGAGAAUGUUGGCUUGAGUAGCGAAAACAUUGGUGAGAAUCCAAUGCCCCGAAACCCUAAGGGUUCCUCCGGAAGGCUCGUCCGCGGAGGGUUAGUCGGGACCUAAGGCGAGGCCGAAAGGCGUAGUCGAUGGAGAACGGGUCGAUAUUCCCGUACUGCUGAUUGUUUGCCAAGAGGGACGCAGGAAGCUAAGCCAGCCGGAAGUUGGUUACCGGUUUAAGUGUUCGAGGCGAUGAGGUCUGGCGAAAACAGACUGAGCUGAGGCACGAAUACGAGACGCUACGGCGUCGAAGUGGCUGAGGUUAUGCUGCCGAGAAAAGCUCUGACGGCGUUAGGCAAUCAGUACCCGUACCCGAAACCGACACAGGUGGGGAGGUAGAGAAUACCGAGGGGCGCGAGAUAACUCUCUCUAAGGAACUCGGCAAAAUGACCCCGUAACUUCGGGAGAAGGGGUGCCCUUGUUUGGAUAUUUAUAUCUGAGGGAGGGUCGCAGAGAAUUGGCCCAAGCGACUGUUUACCAAAAACACAGGUCUCCGCUAACUCGCAAGAGGACGUAUGGGGGCUGACGCCUGCCCAGUGCCGGAAGGUUAAGGAAGCCGGUCAGUCUUUUUGAUGAAGCUGGCGACUGAAGCCCCGGUGAACGGCGGCCGUAACUAUAACGGUCCUAAGGUAGCGAAAUUCCUUGUCGGGUAAGUUCCGACCCGCACGAAAGGCGUAACGAUUUGGGCACUGUCUCGGAGAGAGACUCGGCGAAAUAGGAUUGUCUGUGAAGAUACGGACUACCUGCACCCGGACAGAAAGACCCUAUGAAGCUUUACUGUAGCUUGGAAUUGGGUUCGGGCUUUGCUUGCGCAGCAUAGGUGGGAGACGUUGAAGCAUCUCUUGUGGGGGAUGUGGAGUCAUCGGUGAGAUACCACUCUGGCGAGGCUAGAAUUCUAACCUGUAUCCGUCAACCGGAACGGGGACAGUUUCAGGUGGGCAGUUUGACUGGGGCGGUCGCCUCCUAAAUGGUAACGGAGGCGCGCAAAGGUUCCCUCAGGCUGGUUGGAAAUCAGUCAAAGAGUGUAAAGGCAUAAGGGAGCUUGACUGCGAGAGUGACCCCUCGAGCAGGGACGAAAGUCGGCCUUAGUGAUCCGACGGCACUGUGUGGAAGGGCCGUCGCUCAACGGAUAAAAGUUACUCUAGGGAUAACAGGCUGAUCUCCCCCAAGAGUUCACAUCGACGGGGAGGUUUGGCACCUCGAUGUCGGCUCAUCGCAACCUGGGGCGGUAGUACGUCCCAAGGGUUGGGCUGUUCGCCCAUUAAAGCGGUACGUGAGCUGGGUUCAGAACGUCGUGAGACAGUUCGGUCCAUAUCCGGUGCGGGCGUUAGAGUAUUGAGAGGAGCUCUCCCUAGUACGAGAGGACCGGGAGGGACACACCGCUGGUGUACCUGUUAUCGUGCCAACGGUAAACGCAGGGUAGCCAAGUGUGGAGUGGAUAACCGCUGAAAGCAUCUAAGUGGGAAGCCCACCUCGAGAUGAGUACUCUCACUUCUAAAAGAAGGUAAGGUCUCGGAAAGAUUAUCCGGUAGAUAGGCGUUAGGUGGAAGUGUGGUAACACAUGCAGCCCAGACGUACUAAUUGACCGAGGGCUUGACCUC
rnacentral:rRNA from 1 species